ACCCAUCCCGAACACGACCGUUAAGCCCUCCAGCGCCGAUGGUACUUGGACCGCAGGGUCCUGGGAGAGUAGGACGCCGCCAAGC
rnacentral:rRNA from 1 species